rnacentral:lncRNA from 1 species
UCUCUCUCAAUUUUCUUCAUCAUUCUUCAUUGAUGAUCAUAUACAAAGCUUCAUAGAUCAUUUCUAUACCAUAAGCUUCCAUUCAAACGAGCUCUAAACAUCUAUACACUUCAAAUCAAGAGCAACUAUGGAAUGUUUUUAAAGCUUGAAGUCAAGAGGAUACUUUCAUUUUCUACUCAAAAAUCAUUGAGUAAGUGUUAGAGUUAUUUAAAUCUAAUCAUAUUUGAGUUAUAUAAGCAUGUAUAUGGAUGAAAAUAGCAUGAAAACCCACUUAUUUCUCUUUUCAUUUUUUUCGAGAAUUAGGGCUCAUACCCUUCAAAAAAAAAAUUCAUCAUCUAAUCUUAAAUUGAGAUUAUAUUCAUGCUAUUGAGAUCUUAUUUAGUCCAUUUCUACAUGUAAAGAAUGGAUUUAGAUUGAUAUGUGAAUUUUUGGAUGAGUUAGUUUAUAUGAUUUUGGAAAGUUUGGAGUUCAUGGAGUGAGUGAUGAUUUGAUUAUGAUUAUGAGUUUAUGAGAGUGUUGGUAUGAUAUUUGAUGGAUUAGAAUAAUGAUUAAAGGUGUUUGAUGAGUUAAUUUGAAAACCUUUUAAAGGCUACUGACCUACUGACUUUCGACGGGGUUUUUGAUACCCAAAAAUCUUGAAAAUUUUAUGGUGAGUAUAUAAGUGUUAUGAUGAACGUACUUGUAAAAUUUCAAGUCAUUUGGACAUCGUUUACUACCCUUUUAAAAUGGAAAACACCAACUGCAACUUUCUACCGAAAAUUUCGAAGAACAGACCUUAGAGUCACCCUUCUCAGUAGCUACCCCUGACGUUUUUCCUUUCCAAUUUUAUGGUAAAGAUAUUAAUGUGUUAUCUAGCUACCCACAAAAUUUCAAGUCAUUUCGGCAAUGUUUACUAUUUUUCAAAAAUCAAAACCUCCGGUUGCACAAAACUGCCGAAUAUGGUAGACUGUGGGAGAACGGUCAUAUCUCUUAAUCCACUUGGAGUUUUUCAACCUACUUUUUUUUAAAAUGAAACUAGACUCAAAGAGGUUUCUAAUAGUAUGAGUCUCGAACCCAGGAGAGUUCCGAGGAGAAGCAGUUUAUUCUCUUAAGUUAAGGCAGUGCAGAAAGAGUGAAUUGAAUAAGAUUUUGAUUAUGAGAUGAGAUAUGAAUUAAAGAUGCCUAUAUGUGGCUUAGUGAAGAUGAAUUGAGCUUAUAUAUGAAAAAUGAAAUAAAAUGGCAUAACUUGUUUAUGUGAAUUAAUUUUUGAAUAAUUGGUUUAAGAAUGAUUUAUAAAAUAAAUUUUUGGGAAUUUUCCCCGACUAAAAAUAUUUUACUUUUUUUUUCAAAAAUGAGUUUGUGUAUGUGAUUGCUAUGUGCUUUUGGAUUGUUUAUCUAUGAGUUGUUCCUUGACAGAGUUUAGACCUAAAUUAGGUGAUAAGUUGAGAAUAGAAUAGUGAUUACUUAGAAAGAGUUUUUAUAUGAGAUCGAGAUAGACGGAGUGUAGUGAUGAGGAGAUGAAAUAGUACUAAGAUAGGAAUGGUAUUCUUAGUCAGGAAGUUUCUGACUAAUCUUUUUUAUUCUUAUCAUGAACUACUCCGAUGUGACGGUAUCUGAAGAUAUGAGCAGAGGACGGAAGUGAGUCCACCCCGAGUGCUACGAGAGU